GAUGCGUCAUAACCAGCCUAAUGCACCGGAUCCCACAAACUCCGAAGUUAAGCAGUGCUUGGCGAGAUAGUACUAGAUGCGGUACCCCCGGGAAGUCUCGUUUGGCAAUCC
rnacentral:rRNA from 1 species